UACGGGAGGCAGCAGUGGGGAAUCUUAGACAAUGGGCGCAAGCCUGAUCUAGCCAUGCCGCGUGAUCGAUGAAGGCCUUAGGGUUGUAAAGAUCUUUCGUGGGGGAAGAUAAUGACGGUACCCCAAGAAGAAGCCCCGGCUAACUCCGUGCCAGCAGCCGCGGUAAUACGGAGGGGGCUAGCGUUAUUCGGAAUUACUGGGCGUAAAGCGCACGUAGGCGGAUUGGAAAGUCAGAGGUGAAAUCCCAGAGCUCAACUUUGGAACUGCCUUUGAAACUCCCAGUCUUGAGGUCGAGAGAGGUGAGUGGAAUUCCGAGUGUAGAGGUGAAAUUCGUAGAUAUUCGGAGGAACACCAGUGGCGAAGGCGGCUCACUGGCUCGAUACUGACGCUGAGGUGCGAAAGCGUGGGGAGCAAACAGGAUUAGAUACUCUGGUAGUCCACGCCGUAAACGAUGAAUGCCAGUCGUCGGGUAGCAUGCUAUUCGGUGACACACCUAACGGAUUAAGCAUUCCGCCUGGGGAGUACGGCCGCAAGGUUAAACCUCAAAUGAAUUGACGGCUGAGACGNGCGAGCGACGACGAGGAGAG
rnacentral:rRNA from 1 species